rnacentral:sRNA from 1 species
GCGUGUCCCGGACCGUCCGGCGUCAGACGGAGCGACGGGGCCGGCCGCAGCCUCAGCCACGCGUCCCUCGGCGGCGGGCAGGCUCCUCUUGGCCUGCAGCCUUACUUUCAUGCCCUUCUUCACAGUGUACUCAUCAGCAUGGCAUAAGGAAAGAGCAGACAGGGUUCCUGCCCUCAUAAUGCUUACAGUCUACAGAACAGUGCUGGGGACACAGUCCUGAGUGUUGCCUCCUGAUCAACCUCUUACUGACUGCCUGGCCUCAGGAAAGCAGCUGAGCUUAUCUGUUCUUAGUCUCCUGGGAGAUUAAGAUGAGUGACCUAGAGGAGAAGGAUGUUGAUGAAUUCAGCUCCAGUGGUUUUAAGUGCCCAACAUGCUUUGCAGUGCAAGGAAGGAAAUGCAAUACAGAACUCAAAUGGUGUGCAGCAGAUAAAAUAAAGUGUAUUGAAUUCUCUGGCAUCAUAAACACAG